rnacentral:rRNA from 1 species
GGGUGGAUUAGUGGCGAACGGGUGAGUAACACGUGGGCAAUCUGCCCUUCACUCUGGGACAAGCCCUGGAAACGGGGUCUAAUACCGGAUAACACCGGCUUCCGCAUGGGAGCUGGUUGAAAGCUCCGGCGGUGAAGGAUGAGCCCGCGGCCUAUCAGCUUGUUGGUGGGGUAAUGGCCUACCAAGGCGACGACGGGUAGCCGGCCUGAGAGGGCGACCGGCCACACUGGGACUGAGACACGGCCCAGACUCCUACGGGAGGCAGCAGUGGGGAAUAUUGCACAAUGGGCGAAAGCCUGAUGCAGCGACGCCGCGUGAGGGAUGACGGCCUUCGGGUUGUAAACCUCUUUCAGCAGGGAAGAAGCGAAAGUGACGGUACCUGCAGAAGAAGCGCCGGCUAACUACGUGCCAGCAGCCGCGGUAAUACGUAGGGCGCAAGCGUUGUCCGGAAUUAUUGGGCGUAAAGAGCUCGUAGGCGGCUUGUCACGUCGGGUGUGAAAGCCCGGGGCUUAACCCCGGGUCUGCAUCCGAUACGGGCAGGCUAGAGUGUGGUAGGGGAGAUCGGAAUUCCUGGUGUAGCGGUGAAAUGCGCAGAUAUCAGGAGGAACACCGGUGGCGAAGGCGGAUCUCUGGGCCAUUACUGACGCUGAGGAGCGAAAGCGUGGGGAGCGAACAGGAUUAGAUACCCUGGUAGUCCACGCCGUAAACGUUGGGAACUAGGUGUUGGCGACAUUCCACGUCGUCGGUGCCG